rnacentral:rRNA from 1 species
GAUGAACGCUGGCGGCGUGCCUAAUACAUGCAAGUCGAGCGAAUGGAUUAAGAGCUUGCUCUUAUGAAGUUAGCGGCGGACGGGUGAGUAACACGUGGGUAACCUGCCCAUAAGACUGGGAUAACUCCGGGAAACCGGGGCUAAUACCGGAUAACAUUUUGAACCGCAUGGUCCGAAAUUGAAAGGCGGCUUCGGCUGUCACUUACGGAUGGACCCGCGUCGCAUUAGCUAGUUGGUGAGGUAACGGCUCCCCAAGGCAACGAUGCAUAGCCGACCUGAGAGGGUGAUCGGCCAAACUGGGACUGAGACACGGCCCAGACUCCUACGGGAGGCAGCAGUAGGGAAUCUUCCGCAAUGGACGAAAGUCUGACGGAGCAACGCCGCGUGAGUGAUGAAGGCUUUCGGGUCGUAAAACUCUGUUGUUAGGGAAGAACAAGUGCUAGUUGAAUAAGCUGGCACCUUGACGGUACCUAACCAGAAAGCCACGGCUAACUACGUGCCAGCCGCCGCCGUAA